GGGCGAGUGGCGAAAUUGGCAGACGCGCAGGAUUCAGGAUCCUGUGGGCUUUAAAACCCGUGGGGGUUCAAGUCCCCCCUCGCCCACCA
rnacentral:tRNA from 3 species